rnacentral:rRNA from 1 species
AACGAACGCUGGCGGCGUGCUUAACACAUGCAAGUCGAACGCGAAAGUUUUCUUCGGAAAGCGAGUAGAGUGGCGCACGGGUGAGUAACGCGUAAGUAAUCUACCCUGGUAUCUGGGAUAACCCACUGAAAGGUGUGCUAAUACCGGAUACGCUGGUAACAGGAAAGAUGGCCUCUGAUUCAAGCUAUCGUACCAGGAGGAGCUUGCGUACCAUUAGCUAGUUGGUAGGGUAAUGGCCUACCAAGGCGACGAUGGUUAGCGGGUCUGAGAGGAUGAUCCGCCACACUGGAACUGGAACACGGACCAGACUCCUACGGGAGGCAGCAGUGAGGAAUAUUGCGCAAUGGGGGAAACCCUGACGCAGCGACGCCGCGUGGAUGAUGAAGGCCUUCGGGUCGUAAAAUCCUGUCAGAUGGAAAGAAGUGUAGAGUAGUUAAUACCUGCUCUAUUUGACGGUACCAUCAAAGGAAGCACCGGCUAACUCCGUGCCAGCAGCCGCGGUAAUACGGAGGGUGCAAGCGUUGUUCGGAAUUACUGGGCGUAAAGCGCGCGUAGGCGGCUAUUUAAGUCAGAUGUGAAAGUCCACGGCUCAACCGUGGAAGUGCAUUUGAAACUG